CUAACUCCUGGCGAGGAGCCGGGGGCUGGCGGAUGGGCACAGGGUUAUCCGGAAUUACGUGGCGGAAAGAGUUGCGUAGGUGGCAGGGUAAGUAGAUAGUGAAAGCGUGUGGCUCAACCAUACAUCCAUUAUCUAAACUGCUCAGCUAGAGGACGAGAGAGGUUAUUGGAAUUCCCAGUGUAGGAGUGAAAUCCGUAGAUAUUGGGAGGAACACCGAUGGCGUAGGCAGAUAACUGGCUCGUUCCUGACACUAAGGCACGAAAGCGUGGGGAGCAAACGGGAUUAGAUACCCUGGUAGUC
rnacentral:rRNA from 1 species